GCUGGGAUAACUCAGUUGGUACAGAAUGAGACUCUUAAUCUCACAUGUCGUGAGUUUGAGUCCCACGUUGGGCA